rnacentral:rRNA from 1 species
GACGAACGCUGGCGGCGUGCUUAACACAUGCAAGUCGAACGAAGUGGCGAACGGGUGAGUAACGCGUAAUCAACCUGCCCUUCAGAGGGGGACAACAGUUGGAAACGACUGCUAAUACCGCAUACUGAAGGAGGGGAUUGCGUCGGAUUAGCUAGUGUGAGGGGUAAGGGCCCACCACGGCGAGGAUCAGUAGCCGGACGGAGAGGGUGAACCGACACAGUGGGACUGAGACACGGCCCAGAAUCCUACGGGAGGCAGCAGUGGGGAAUCUUCCGCAAUGGACGAAAGUCUGACGGAGCAACGCCGCGUGAGUGAUGACGGCCUUCGGGUUGGAAAGCUCUGUUAAUCGGGACGCGGUACCGGAAUAGAAAGCCACGGCUAACUACGUGCCAGCAGCCGCGGUAAUUC